GAGUUUGAUCCUGGCUCAGGAUGAACGCUGGCGGCGUGCUUAACACAUGCAAGUCGAACGAAGCACUCUAUUCGAUUUCUUCGGAAUGAAAAUUUUGUGACUGAGUGGCGGACGGGUGAGUAACGCGUGGGCAACCUGCCUCAUACAGGGGGAUAACAGUUGGAAACGACUGCUAAUACCGCAUAAGCGCACAGUACCGCAUGGUACAGUGUGAAAAACUCCGGUGGUAUGAGAUGGGCCCGCGUCUGAUUAGCCAGUUGGCGGGGUAACGGCCCACCAAAGCGACGAUCAGUAGCCGACCUGAGAGGGUGACCGGCCACAUUGGGACUGAGACACGGCCCAAACUCCUACGGGAGGCAGCAGUGGGGAAUAUUGCACAAUGGGGGAAACCCUGAUGCAGCGACGCCGCGUGAGCGAAGAAGUAUUUCGGUAUGUAAAGCUCUAUCAGCAGGGAAGAAGAAUGACGGUACCUGACUAAGAAGCACCGGCUAAAUACGUGCCAGCAGCCGCGGUAAUACGUAUGGUGCAAGCGUUAUCCGGAUUUACUGGGUGUAAAGGGAGCGCAGGCGGAAGGCUAAGUCUGAUGUGAAAGCCCGGGGCUCAACCCCGGUACUGCAUUGGAAACUGGUCAUCUAGAGUGUCGGAGGGGUAAGUGGAAUUCCUAGUGUAGCGGUGAAAUGCGUAGAUAUUAGGAGGAACACCAGUGGCGAAGGCGGCUUACUGGACGAUUACUGACGCUGAGGCUCGAAAGCGUGGGGAGCAAACAGGAUUAGAUACCCUGGUAGUCCACGCCGUAGACG
rnacentral:rRNA from 1 species